ACUGACUGCAUAAGGACUUCUGAACAAGCACCAACAUCCACUACUGUUCAAUACCAGCCACAGAAAUUGCUUCCAGUCGUGAAGUGACCAAGAAAAA
rnacentral:lncRNA from 1 species